rnacentral:lncRNA from 1 species
UCAGGUGAUGUCGCAGGUCCGAGUGGGGACGGUUCGUGAGGCGCGCAGUUUAGUGAUCGAUAGAGCUAUCAGCCCGUCGUUUUGGUUAAAUUUCUUUAACUUGUCUUUCUAAAUAAUUGACUUAGACAGUAUGGUUCAGUGAUUUGCUUUAAUUGGAUAAAUGUGAUUUUGUGAAUGUAAUAAAGGAUUUAUGAUUUUUCUAUGCGAUGAAAAUGAUUUUCUACCUCUCAUGGUAGCGCGUUUUAAAAAAAAAAAGGUUUCUGGGUGAGAAACGGUUUUAAAAAGGUUUUUCGUAGUUUUUCAUGACUCUUAGGGUGUGUUUGGUUCCACGUAAAACUGUGAAAAAAAAAUUUCGGUGGAAAAAAGUUUUUCUGUGGAAAAAAAAAUUUACGUCAUUAGUGUUUGAUUUGUAGGAAAAGAAAAAUAAUUUUCGGUGAAGGUUGUUUGUUGAAAGGAAAAGUAAAAAUAAAUAAAAAAUUAUUUAAUAUAUAUUUUUAUUAUAUAUAUUAUUAAUAUAUAAUUAUUCUAUUAUAUAUAAAAAUUAUUAUAUAUUUUUUCUCCAAUUAUAUAUAUUAUAUAUUAUUUAAUAUAUAAUAAUUAUCAUAAUAUAUUUAAUUAUUAUAAUUUAUAUUUAUAAACAAAAUAUAUUUAAAAUAUAUUAUAUAAUAAAUAUAUAAUAUAAUUAUAAUAAUAUAUUUAAUAUUAUAAAAUAAAUU